CUUUAGAUAGCUUAAAAAAAGCCUCAGCCUCUUAAUCUGAUGAUGAAUAAUAAUUCUCUAAAGA
rnacentral:tRNA from 1 species